GUGGGGAAUAUUGGACAAUGGGCGCAAGCCUGAUCCAGCCAUGCCGCGUGAGUGAUGAAGGCCCUAGGGUUGUAAAGCUCUUUCAGUGGGGACGAUAAUGACGGUACCCACAGAAGAAGCCCCGGCUAACUUCGUGCCAGCAGCCGCGGUAAUACGAAGGGGGCUAGCGUUGUUCGGAAUUACUGGGCGUAAAGCGCACGUAGGCGGACUGGAAAGUCAGGGGUGAAAUCCCGGGGCUCAACCCCGGAACUGCCUUUGAAACUCCCAGUCUUGAGGUCGAGAGAGGUGGGUGGAAUUCCGAGUGUAGAGGUGAAAUUCGUAGAUAUUCGGAGGAACACCAGUGGCGAAGGCGGCCCACUGGCUCGAUACUGACGCUGAGGUGCGAAAGCGUGGGGAGCAAACAGGAUUAGAAACCCCUGUAGUCC
rnacentral:rRNA from 1 species